rnacentral:rRNA from 1 species
UCGAGAAUCUUCGGCAAUGGGCGAAAGCCUGACCGAGCGAUGCCGCGUGCGGGAUGAAGGCCUUCGGGUUGUAAACCGCUGUCGUAGGGGAGAAAGGGUCGUUGAAGAAACGACUUUGAUCUAUCCUAGGAGGAAGUCCGGGCUAAGUUCGUGCCAGCAGCCGCGGUAACACGAACCGGACAAACGUUAUUCGGAAUUACUGGGCUUAAAGGGUGCGUAGGCGGUGCGGUAAGUGCGGUGUGAAAUCCCACGGCUCAACCGUGGAAUUGCGCUGCAUACUGCCGUGCUAGAGGGAGACAGGGGUAAGCGGAACUGAUGGUGGAGCGGUGAAAUGCGUUGAUAUCAUCAGGAACACCGGUGGCGAAAGCGGCUUACUGGGUCUCUUCUGACGCUGAGGCACGAAAGCUAGGGUAGCGAACUGGAUUAGAUACCCGGGUAGUCCCUGAGCGGGCUGGCAAGGCGCAU